rnacentral:rRNA from 1 species
UACGUAGGGGGCGAGCGUUGUCCGGAUUCAUUGGGCGUAAAGCGCUUUAAGGCGGUUCGGUAAGUCGCGUGUGAAAUCUCCCGGCUCAACCGGGAGGGUGCGCAGAAUACUGAGGGACUUCGAGUGCGGGAGAGGAAAGUGGAAUUCCUGGUGUAGCGGUGAAAUGCGUAGAUAUCAGGAGGAACACCGGUGGUGUAGACGGCUUUCUGGACCGUAACUGACGCUGAGACACGAAAGCGUGGGUAGCAAACAGG